GACGAACGCUGGCGGCGUGCCUAAUACAUGCAAGUCGAACGAGAGCGACCGGUGCUUGCACUGGUCAAUCUAGUGGCGAACGGGUGAGUAACACGUGGGUAACCUGCCCAUCAGAGGGGGAUAACAUCCGGAAACGGAUGCUAAAACCGCAUAGGUCUUCGAGCCGCAUGGCUUGAAGAGGAAAAGAGGCGCAAGCUUCUGCUGAUGGAUGGACCCGCGGUGCAUUAGCUAGUUGGUGAGGUAACGGCUCACCAAGGCCGUGAUGCAUAGCCGACCUGAGAGGGUGAUCGGCCACAUUGGGACUGAGACACGGCCCAAACUCCUACGGGAGGCAGCAGUAGGGAAUCUUCCGCAAAGGACGCAAGUCUGACGGAGCAACGCCGCGUGAGUGAAGAAGGUUUUCGGAUCGUAAAACUCUGUUGUUAGAGAAGAACAAGUGCUAGAGUAACUGUUAGCGCCUUGACGGUAUCUAACCAGAAAGCCACGGCUAACUACGUG
rnacentral:rRNA from 1 species